rnacentral:rRNA from 1 species
UACAGAGGUCUCAAGCGUUGUUCGGAUUCAUUGGGCGUAAAGGGUGCGUAGGCGGCGCGGUAAGUCGGGUGUGAAAUUUCGAGGCUUAACUUCGAAACUGCAUUCGAUACUGCCGCGCUAGAGGACUGGAGAGGAGACUGGAAUUUACGGUGUAGCGGUGAAAUGCGUAGAUAUCGUAAGGAAGACCAGUGGCGAAGGCGGGUCUCUGGACAGUUCCUGACGCUGAGGCACGAAGGCCAGGGGAGCAAACGGG